UACGUAGGGGGCAAGCGUUGUCCGGAAUCAUUGGGCGUAAAGAGCGUGUAGGCGGCUCAGUAAGUCCGCUGUGAAAGUCCAGGGCUCAACCCUGGAAUGCCGGUGGAAACUGUCGAGCUAGAGUCCGGAAGAGGCGAGUGGAAUUCCUGGUGUAGCGGUGAAAUGCGCAGAUAUCAGGAGGAACACCAAUGGCGAAGGCAGCUCGCUGGGACGGUACUGACGCUGAGACGCGAAAGCGUGGGGAGCAAACAGG
rnacentral:rRNA from 1 species